GCAUUGGUAAUUCAGUGGUAGAAUUUUCACCUUCCACGCAGGAGACCCAGGUUCAAUUCCCGGCCAAUGCA
rnacentral:tRNA from 1 species